rnacentral:tRNA from 1 species
GCAGGGGUGGUUCAGUGUAGAAUUCUCGCUUUCCAUGUGGGAGAGCCGGAUUCAAUUCCUGGUCAAUGCA